AAAUAUUUGAUAUUAAAUGAAAGCCCUGUUUCUCCUGAAUAAAAUUAUAUAUAAUAAGGGUGGGUGCAUUUAAUAUGAAAGAGGUGAAUUACGGUUGGACAGACAUGUAGCGCAAAUGCCAGGUUUUGUUUACAUUUUGUUUCGUUCACAACGUGUACAUUUGCCUCCAUCCUUAACCCCUUAAGGACGGAGCCAAAUGUACACGUUGCCAAAUGUACACCGGGUAAG